rnacentral:rRNA from 1 species
AGUGAACGCUGGCGGUAGGCCUAACACAUGCAAGUCGAACGGCAGCACAGUAAGAGCUUGCUCUUACGGGUGGCGAGUGGCGGACGGGUGAGGAAUACAUCGGAAUCUACUUUUUCGUGGGGGAUUACGUAGGGAAACUUACGCUACUACCGCAUACGACCUACGGGUGAAAGCAGGGGAUCUUCGCACCUUGCGCGACUGAAUUAGCCGAUGUCGGAUUAGCUAGUUGGCGGGGUAAAGGCCCACCAAGGCGACGAUCCGUAGCUGGUCUGAGAGGAUGAUCAGCCACACUGGAACUGAGACACGGUCCAGACUCCUACGGGAGGCAGCAGUGGGGAAUAUUGGACAAUGGGCGCAAGCCUGAUCCAGCCAUACCGCGUGGGUGAAGAAGGCCUUCGGGUUGUAAAGCCCUGUUGUUAGGAAAGAAAAGCAGCAUGUUAAUACCCCGCUGUUCUGACGGUACCCAAAGAAUAAGCACCGGCUAACUUCGUG